AUACCCACAUGUUAGUUCAGGAACAACUUCAGGCAGGCCAUUUACAACCUAUGCUCAGUCCUUGGAACAUCUUUGUAAUUAAGGAAAAAAUCUGGCAACUGGAGAUUAUUACAAGAUCUCAGGGUAAUUAAUUGUGUUAUCAAGCCCACGGAGCCUUACAACAAGGGCUUCUUUUUCCUACAGCUAUCACUUUGGAUUAUCUUUUAAUAGUAGUAGAUUUAAAAGAUUGUUUCUUUUCUAUACCAUUAUGGCCAGAUGACUGCAAAAGAUUUGUCUUUAG
rnacentral:ncRNA from 1 species